rnacentral:rRNA from 1 species
CCUACGGGAGGCAGCAGUGGGGAAUAUUGGGCAAUGGGCGCAAGCCUGACCCAGCAACGCCGCGUGAAGGAAGAAGGCUUUCGGGUUGUAAACUUCUUUUCUCAGGGACGAAGAAAGUGACGGUACCUGAGUAGUAAGCCACGGCUAACUACUUGCCAGCAGCCGCGGUAAUCCGUAGGUGGCAAGCCGUAUCCGGAUUGAUUGGGGGGAAAGGGCGUGUAGGCGGGGGGGCAAGUCAGAUGUGAAAACUCAGGGCUCAACCCUGAGCCUGCAUUUGAAACUGUGUAUCUAGAGUGCUGGAGAGGAAAGCGGAAUUCCGUGUGUAGCGGUGAAAUGCGUAGAUAUACGGAGGAACACCAGUGGCGAAGGCGGAUUGCUGGACAGUAACUGACGCUGAGGCGCGAAAGCGUGGGGAGCAAACAGGAUUAGAUACCCUAGUAGUC